rnacentral:lncRNA from 1 species
CACAUGAUUUUAAUCAGAAAAUGUUUUUUUUAUUAUUCAUUUUUGCCAAUUUCGAAAUUUCUUUUAUAAUUUGUCAAAUGUAGUCUGGUUCAUCAAUCAUAUUCUUUAAAGGAACAAGCAUUCUGUGACUUUAGUAUUGCACAAUUCCCUACCUGCUAAAAACUUAUUGUACUGGAACAAAAUGUUAACUUGAUCUACAACUUGUCAUGGUGUAAUCUAUAUAACAAAUAUCAAGUCAAUAUCUUCAAGUAGGACUAAAUAAGGCCUACUUAUUGUUUCCUCUCUAAAAUAGGAAUGAUCUAGUUGAAAAUAAAUGGGGAAUGUGUCCAUGAGAGCAGCACAAGACACAGAUGAUGCCCCUGAUCACAUAACAUAUAAUGUUAUGAAGGAACAAAA